rnacentral:ncRNA from 1 species
CUUGGGGGUGGCGAAAGCCUGAGAUCAAACCCCGGGGGGUUCCUGUCGGAACUCCAAGAACCUGAUCCGGAUAAUACCGGCGUAGGAAAAGGAU